UCCCUCAUGGUCUAGUGGUUAGGAUUCGGCUCUCCCACUGCUGUGGCCAGGGUUUGAUUCCUGGUGAAGGAA
rnacentral:tRNA from 1 species